rnacentral:rRNA from 1 species
AUUGAACGCUGGCGGCAUGCUUUACACAUGCAAGUCGAACGGUAACAGGCCGCAAGGUGCUGACGAGUGGCGAACGGGUGAGUAAUGCAUCGGAACGUGCCCAGUCGUGGGGGAUAACGCAGCGAAAGCUGUGCUAAUACCGCAUACGAUCUAUGGAUGAAAGCGGGGGACCGGAAGGCCCCGCGGGCGUGGAGCGGCCGAUGUCAGAUUAGGUAGUUGGUGGGGUAAAGGCUCACCAAGCCAACGAUCUGUAGCUGGCCUGAGAGGACGACCAGCCACACUGGGACUGAGACACGGCCCAGACUCCUACGGGAGGCAGCAGUGGGGAAUUUUGGACAAUGGGCGCAAGCCUGAUCCAGCAAUGCCGCGUGCAGGAAGAAGGCCUUCGGGUUGUAAACUGCUUCUGUACGGAACGAAAAGGUUUGGGUUAAUACCCUGGGCCGAUGACGGUACCGUAAGAAUAAGCACCGGCUAACUACGUGCCAGCCGCCGCGGUAA